CAGAAAAAGAACACAGGGUAACACUUUAUUUUACAGUGCUGUAGUUAUUACAUGUACUUACUAUAGUAAUAUUAGUACAUUAUGCAUAAUUACAAGUAACUAACCCUAAACCCCUAACUGAAACUCUAUAGUAAGUGCAUGUAGUUAAUUAAUAGUACACAGUACUUAUUUAAGUAAUUACAAUGUAACUACGGCACUGUAAAAUAAAGUGUAACCGAACACAGAUAACCCCUAAGAUAAACAGUAACAAAUUGUAUUUUUUUUAAGUAUCAGUGUUUUUUUUUUUUUCCCAAUGUAUUAGCAGUUCCUCAACUUCUGCAUGUUGCGUUCCACCUCACAUCCUCCCAUGGCAGGUGCUCUCACUCCAAAUAACACAGCGGAAACUUCAGAUCCACGUCACAGGAGCUCUUGGAAGGGGAAUUGAGUUCAUCGCUUUGCCUUCUCGAGUGGAAGAUGGAACGUCAUAUGCUAUCAAUGAACGAAUUAUGACAAAAGAGCCUCCGGUCGCGUUCGAGAUGGCAGAGCUUCCCAUCAGUGCGGUCUCUGUGGUAUUUGCUCUAUAUGUGUCAGGGAGGUCACAGAUGUGGCGCGGGCUGGAUGCUUCUGAGAGCUUCCUCAAGCAAACACAAUUUAGCAUGGUGACGGGGGCAGUGGCACAAAGCUGGCUGGAUUAAGGGGCUGUCACACUCUGUCUCCCACAACAGGAUAACAAGCAGUGCUCAAGCAGCUUCCCCCAGGGGGUAAAAGAGACCUGCCUUUUGGUGUGGGGGCCACAGAUGGUCAGAAGCCCAGUGGACACAGCCCAUUAUAGCAGAACAUUGCAUGGCAGGCCAGCGGAGGAAAUCUGAACACUACUGUCCUGUCUGCAAGAUGAGGUGGUGGCCUGCUGAAGGAAGCAGGGCGGAAAUGUGAAGUGCCCUGACAUUUCAACAGACACGUCUGAAAUCACAAGCCGUCACUCCCAAAGGCCACUCGGCUCAACAAGACUCACAGUGCUGGUGAUAGACCUCUGUUGUUGGGUAAUUUUCUUCGAGGUCACACAGAAGAACAAUAAAGCGGCAUAAUACUACACCACAGAAACAAAGACAACAAAGAGUAAGAGAACAAAAAGACGUUGGAGCAUCUAAUUGGAAUAAAGAAUUGAUUAAUUUAACCAGCAUUGAGAGAACCUAUUCAAUAUGGGCCACAGCAGAAUGACGGCACAUAAUCUAACUUAAUCUUUAAAGGGAACUAUUAAGCCUUUAUUGAGCAUUCUAAUGAGAUCUUUAAUUAACAUCUAUAAGUAAUUUCCAGACUUGAUAUAAUUUGAUUCAGAAGUGAAAAGUAAUCACAAAUUGAAUAGUAGAGUACUAAGUUCUUCAUUACUAAUGUCAUCAUUUACCAGUGUUUUUGUUAACUAAAACUAUUAAAAAUCAUUUUGAACUUGAAAAUUAGAAAUGUUGCCUUGCCAACUUAUUGAAAUUAAUAAGUUGAAGUACUAACCCCUGGUUUCACAGAUAAGGUUUAUGCCUAGUCCCAGACUAAAAUGCAUGUUUGAGCUAUCUUAACUGAAAGCAACUUACACUUAUCUUAAUUUUGUCUCAAGAUGCGCACCAGUAAUGUUUUUGUUUCUAAGGCAUUAUAAAAGCUUCUAAAAUGUCCUAAUUUAACUAAGGCCUAAUUCUGGCUUAAUCUAAGCCCUGUCUGUGAAACUAUAGGCCUAAAAUUACUAAAACUGAAAUAAAAAUGACCUAAAGAUAUAGAAAUAUAUAUUAUAAACGGAUAGUUCCGGCCCUUGAUUCUGACUGGUUGAGCCUCAUUCGUAGCCAUUGUAAAAUUCACGAAAACACAGCUGUCCGCAUUACAUAAGUAUUGCUGCGCUACUGAGUGUGUAUGUUGCUGCGUCUGUCUUAGCAACCACUCUUAGCAACGUAAAAACAUAUGUUUGUUCUCUAUUGAUUUUGUUCAUUUAAGCUUACUGCAUUACGUAGAAGAGUAUUGUGAGAGAGAUAUCGAGUGACUGAGUAUAUUACCUGCAUUCAAAUUUAGCAUUUUUCUUCAGGUCAGUCCUAUGUUCAUAAUAAAAAUUUGAAUGUCUGCUGCGAUCUUGUCCUUUUAACAUUUAAUAGGUUUUCCCGUGCCCUGCUGACACCGACAGCGCUAGUCAAAGCCUUUGUCAUUUGUGUCUU